UGCACGAAUAGCAUAACCAAUUAAAGCGACAAAACAAGAAGGAAACAUAUAUUGUACGAAGUGAUGAAUGUUAAUUUAAUUUAAAUUGAUACUUAUUUAUCAUUACGUCCUCAAUUGAUGUUGUGUUCAUAGAUGUAUUUUCAGCCUACGUUUGAAUAAUGAAAAUGAUUUUAAUCUAUUAAUUUUUAUUUGCUUCCCUAAUCUGUGCUGAAACUAUCAAUUAUGCUUAAUGGAAAAAUAAUGCGUACCUUGUAUUCACACUGCAAUUAAGAAAGCGUUUUCAAAUCCAGCUGUUUUUUUUUAAGAACAAAAAUGUAUUUCCCCAUUUAUUUGUGAUCUUCCUGAACUGCUUUUCUUUUGUAACGCGUAACUCGAACAGUAACGUCUAAUCCCUCGGGACUCAUUUUUCAUCAACGCAUCACUCACUCAAAAAGGUAAGCUGUGCAGUUUAAUGCUUCGGACAUAUUCAGCCAGGUGUACGCAAUGCAAUGAAUAUCACCGUAUACGUCCCCAACUAAGAGCCGUUUGUGCUGUGCAGCUCAACAUAACAGAGUCAUAGCCUAAUAGCUCACAUGAACCGUGGAAAAUCCACAAGAAAAGACACCAAACAGUCAAGCGUUAAUACCAUCCGUAUGGUGUGGUGAAGGCAAAAAAUAAAUUUAAGUAAACAGCAUUGCUCGAGAGAAGAAAAAAAGCAUACAGCAUUAACUUUUAGCUUCCCACAUGGUCUUGUCCUGCUGACCAUCCAUAUUGUCUGUCAGCCAUCAGUCGGGACUGCGAAGUCACGUCCGCCAGAAAGUGCAGAAGUGUAUAAUUUGCGAAAUUUGCUUGAUUUUCCUUGUCUUCUCGGUAGGUGCAGUUGAUGAGCUUAUCUUAAAGUUGCUUUUCCAUCCUAUUUUAUGGAGCUCGUGCUCGUUGAUUUUUAGUGCAUAAAAUAAGAACACAAAAUAUAUCAAUCUAUGAUAAACAUAAUGUAAGAAAUUUGUGUUUAUGUUUUUGCUAAUCAGUGUUGAUAGCUAUUUUAUUCAGGAAAAUUCAUAACCAGAAUUCGAUGCUGGUCUCAAUAAUGUGAUAUUUAUUGGUACGAUGCAUUGCAAAUAAAAACAACAAACAAUCAAAACAAUUAUUACAAGAGACCUUCAUUCUUGGUCUUGAAAGUAAAAGCUGAUGCAACAAUGCGUUACCAAAAGGAAAAGGAAGCAUUUUAUGUCCAGUUGCAAUCAACUUCUCUCACUUUACCGGCACACUAACAGUCAACGCUCGCUCAAUCUCAUACCGCUAUUGGGUUGAGCGUGAGCAUUGCAGGGUUGGCUUACUUGUAGUGAAUCAAGCCUUUAGUUAUUUUCUAUCAGCACCAAUUAUAAAAUUUUGUAAACAGAUCAAUUAGUUAUCAAAGAUAUACAUACGUUUUAUCUUCUUCUCGGCGUAACGUUCUACGCGAACAUGCCGGCCUAUACAGACUUUCGAGACUUACAGGGUGUUUUGAAUUGAUACCAAUGACGUUUUCUAAAAAAACAUCAUUUGGAGUUGUUUUCCUGUGGCAUUCAGCUGUACACAUGAUAAACUAAAUAAAUCCUACUGCGGAGCCAUAAUUAAACAUGAUCAUAUGAUUGCCAGCUUCCACAGCUCGCUUGCAACAUUCCCCUAAGUCAAGGGCCUCCAAACUUUUCAGCCCGCGGGCCGCAUUGUUUCAAAAAUCACUAUGUUAAGGGCCAUUUAAUGUUACCUAUAAUUGAUGAGUGAACGUUUAAAUCUCAUUUUUAUAACAAAAUACUAACGAUACUUGAACAGAUUCGUGUUACUAAAGCUUGAUUUUUGUCUAGGAAAUGUAAAAAAAUACAAUUUCUUUUGAAAAAGUCAAAAUAACCUAAUAUUUAUUCUAAAUCUGGCAAAGUCAUCGGGGCCGCAUUUUAAGCUCUUGAGGGCCGCAUGCGGCCCGCGGGCCUUAGUUUGGAGACCCCUGCCCUAAGUGAUUGAACUAUUCCCUUAUAUGAUACGAAACCCUUAUGGGUGGAUGCUCCAUUCUAGACUUGAACCCACGAUGAGAAUGUAGCUAAGGCGUGCGAGUUGACGACCGUACCACGGGACAGGCAUAUUAUAUUCUUGUAAUAGAGUCAUCUGGAUGUUGAGCCAAUGAAGUUUUCUAUUGAAUACUUUACUGUAAAGUUGUUUUUUUUAUUCGCAUCAAAUUGUAAUCAGAACAGAACAGGCCUCAUUAGUUUCGGAAAAUACUCAUACCAGUACUGCGAGCUGAUGUGGCUAAAACUAAUUUCACCUGUAUUUGCCAGAAUACGUUGAAAAAAUACCAAACGAAUAAAAACUGGGUCCACAAACCCUGCAACUGUGGCAAGGAAUGCGUUUUAGUACGAGCCAAUCGUCACCAGCUGACACUGCUUUUCGAAUCAGACUUGUGUCGGCAGUCGGCGCGUCGUGAGUGUGUCUUCAGAACCGGCUGAUAAGUGAACAUCGAAAGAGUUUGGUUCGUACCAACGCAAACAAGUGCCUCCAGUCCAGUUAGUUCCGUUCAUCAAACACCAGUGCGGUUUACGUAUUGCAGCGAGUGCGUCAUCGGGUGUUGUGAACGUUGGAAAUGUGUUGUCUAAGACUACAGCGUCAUUAACGGCAAGCUCCGGUCCUACAGAGGAAAUAGUAGUUUAAUUUCCGUUAAAGUGCUUAAAGUAAACAGUGCCGAGUGACUGUAAAGUUGAAAAGUACGAAUCGCUAUAACAACGAUCUGCUGAAGUGAUUCGCUUUAGCGAUAAGAAACUGCAAAUACAUCGUUCGAGGGCUGAGUGAAGUUAUACAAUCAAAAGCCCUCCACCGAUCGCCCUUCCUGUCCAGUGCUUCACAAGUUCUUCCCCGGUUUUGUACCGAGUGCAUUGGACGAGCGUCCAACUAUCC